GACGAACGCUGGCGGCGCGCUUAACACAUGCAAGUCGACGAGCGGCGGACGGGUGAGUAACACGUGAGUAACCUGCCUUGACAUUGGGCUAGCUUCGGGAAACCGGGAUUAAUACCACAUGGUCUAAGUUGGACUCGCGUCCUAUCAGCUUGUUGGUGGGGUGAUGGCCUACCAAGGCGGUGACGGGUAGCCGGCCUGGGAGGGUGACCGGCAACAUUGGGACUGGGAAACGGCCCAGACUCGUACGGGGGGGAGCAGUGGGGGAUAUUGCACAAUGGUCAAAAGCCUGAUGCAGCGACGCCGCGUGGGGGAUGAAGGCUUUCGGGUUGUAAACCUCUUUCGCUAUCGAAGGGUAGGUGGAGAAGAAGCGCCGGCUAACUACGUGCCAGCAGCCGCGGUAAUUC
rnacentral:rRNA from 1 species